rnacentral:rRNA from 1 species
UACAGAGGUCUCAAGCGUUGUUCGGAUUCAUUGGGCGUAAAGGGUGCGUAGGCGGCGCGGUAAGUCGGGUGUGAAAUCUUGGAGCUUAACUCCGAAACUGCAUUCGAUACUGCCGUGCUUGAGGACUGGAGAGGAGACUGGAAUUUACGGUGUAGCAGUGAAAUGCGUAGAGAUCAUGAGGAAGACCAGUGGCGAAGGCGGGUCUCUGGACAGUUCCUGACACUGAGACACGAAGGCCAGGGGAGCAAACGGGG